CUGAUCUCGGCGUUCAGUCGUGCGUGAUUUUGGAUUUGCACCUCGCCCUUGGGCAAGUGCAGAAUCCUGGGGUUAUACAAAGCACAUCACAGUUAACCCCUUUGUCCCAGUCCGCAGAAUGAGAGCUCGGAGCCCGGCCAUGGGUGGCUCGGUUAUAUAGGCAGGAAAAUCAAGGAACCCAGGUGUGAGCAGGGGCGUUUGUGGCGCGGAGAGAGCUCCUGUCCUUGCCGUCCACCUAUUUCUCAGGCUUGGCCCCUGGCGUGUAGAAAACCGCAUCUCCGGAAAACCCAGAAAGUUACGUCGCCCAGGUACUCUCUUGUCAUUCUCCGGGAUGUAAAAGACUCAGGGUCUCUUCACGGAUCACUGAAACCGCCUUCUCCGAGGCCUCCAGGGUGACUAAAGAGAGGGUGCUUCCCACACUCAACUCGAGAGAUACUGGAAUUAAGGAAAUGUCC
rnacentral:lncRNA from 1 species